rfam:Danio rerio chromosome 4, GRCz11 reference primary assembly.
GCUGAAAUAGCUCAGUUAGGACAGCAUUAGACUAAAGAUCUAAAGGUCACUGGUUGGGUUUCGGCA